AGAGUUUGAUCUGGCUCAGAACGAACGCUGGCGGCGCGCUUAACACAUGCAAGUCGAACGAGAAGCUGUAGCAAUACAGUUGUACAGUGGCGAACGGGUGAAGAAUACAUGGGUGACCUACCCUCGAGUGGGGAAUAACCCGCCGAAAGGCGGGCUAAUGCCGCGUACGCUUCCAUUCUUACGAGAAUGGACGGAAAGCCGUGCCGUGGGUACGGCGCUCAAGGAUGGGCUCAUGUCCUAUCAGCUUGUUGGUAGGGUAACGGCCUACCAAGGCUACGACGGGUAGCUGGUCUGAGAGGACGAUCAGCCACACUGGCACUGCGACACGGGCCAGACUCCUACGGGAGGCAGCAGUGAGGAAUAUUGCGCAAUGGGCGACAGCCUGACGCAGCGACGCCGCGUGGGGGAUGAAGGUCUUCGGAUUGUAAACCCCUUUCGGGAGGGAAGAUGGGACGGGCAACCGUUCGGACGGUACCUCCAGAAGCAGCCACGGCUAACUUCGUGCCAGCAGCCGCGGUA
rnacentral:rRNA from 1 species